AGGCGCAUAGUUCAGCCUGGUAGAACAGUCCUUUACCGUCGAUGAGCAACCAUCUGGCAGGUUCAAAUCCUGCUGUGCCUCCCC
rnacentral:tRNA from 1 species